AGAAGAAAGAGGGUGGAAGGAAGGGGGCAUGGAGGCCAGGACAGCCCCAAGAUGAGAGCUAGUAAGCCGAGGGGUGAUGUGAAGCUUGAUACCUAUGAUUCUGAGUCAGGAAACAGAGGUGUAAAGUCUAGUGGCUGGGGUGCUGGUCUACCGACCGCCCGUUCGCUCUCACCCCUAGCUCUGUCUUUCUGCGGUAAGGGAAUCCUUCUUGAGCCAAAGCACUUCUCCACCAAAGGGUAC